rnacentral:rRNA from 1 species
GACGAACGCUGGCGGCGUGCCUAAUACAUGCAAGUCGAGCGAAGUUUUUCUGGUGCUUGCACUAGAAAAACUUAGCGGCGAACGGGUGAGUAACACGUAAAGAACCUGCCUCAUAGACGGGGACAACUAUUGGAAACGAUAGCUAAUACCGGAUAACAGCAUAAAUCGCAUGAUAUAUGUUUAAAAGUUGGUUUCGGCUAACACUAUGAGAUGGCUUUGCGGUGCAUUAGCUAGUUGGUGGGGUAAAGGCCUACCAAAGCGACGAUGCAUAGCCGACCUGAGAGGGUGAUCGGCCACACUGGGACUGAGACACGGCCCAGACUCCUACGGGAGGCAGCAGUAGGGAAUCUUCCGCAAUGGGCGAAAGCCUGACGGAGCAACGCCGCGUGAGUGAAGAAGGAUUUCGGUUCGUAAAGCUCUGUUGUUAGGGAAGAAUGAUUGUAUAGUAACUAUAUACAGUAGAGACGGUACCUAACCAGAAAGCCACGGCUAACUACGUGCCAGCAGCCGCGGUAAUACGUAGGUGGCAAGCGUUGUCCGGAAUUAUUGGGCGUAAAGCGCGCGCAGGUGGUUUAAUAAGUCUGAUGUGAAAGCCCACGGCUCAACCGUGGAGGGUCAUUGGAAACUGUUAAACUUGAGUGCAGGAGAGAAAAGUGGAAUUCCUAGUGUAGCGGUGAAAUGCGUAGAGAUUAGGAGGAACACCAGUGGCGAAGGCGGCUUUUUGGCCUGUAACUGACACUGAGGCGCGAAAGCGUGGGGAGCAAACAGG